UACGAAGGGGGCUAGCGUUGUUCGGAAUUACUGGGCGUAAAGCGCGCGCAGGCGGUCCUUCAAGUCAGGGGUGAAAGCCCAGAGCUCAACUCUGGAACUGCCCUUGAGACUGUGGGACUAGGGUGUGGGAGAGGUGAGUGGAAUUCCGAGUGUAGAGGUGAAAUUCGUAGAUAUUCGGAAGAACACCGGUGGCGAAGGCGGCUCACUGGCCCAUUACCGACGCUCAGGCGCGACAGCGUGGGGAGCAAACAGG
rnacentral:rRNA from 1 species